rnacentral:rRNA from 1 species
UACGUAGGGGGCUAGCGUUGUCCGGAAUCAUUGGGCGUAAAGCGCGUGUAGGCGGCCCGGUAAGUCCGCUGUGAAAGUCGGGGGCUCAACCCUCGAAUGCCGGUGGAUACUGUCGGGCUCGAGUGCGGAAGAGGAGAGUGGAAUUCCUGGUGUAGCGGUGAAAUGCGCAGAUAUCAGGAAGAACACCUAUGGCGAAAGCAGCUCUCUGGGACGGUACUGACGCUGAGACGCGAAAGCGUGGGGAGCGAACAGG